ensembl:snoRNA T23B12.13 ncRNA
AGCAGUGAUGUGAACAUACUUUGAUCCGAUAAUUAAUAAUCUUGCGAGAUUAUUUGUUUCUGCGGAAUUUGCGAUCCUGAGCUGUUUUU